GGACUACCAGGGUUUCUAAUCCUGUUUGCUCCCCACGCUUUCGCGCAUCAGUGUCAGUUACGGUCCAGAGAGCCGCCUUCGCCACCGGUGUUCUUCCCAAUAUCUACGAAUUUCACCUCUACACUGGGAAUUCCACUCUCCUCUCCCGUACUCUAGCUCCAGAGUAUCAAAUGCAAUUCCCAGGUUAAGCCCGGGGCUUUCACAUCUGACUUUCAGAGCCACCUACGCGCCCUUUACGCCCAGUAAAUCCGAACAACGCUCGCCCCCUUCGUAUUACCGCGGCUGCUGGCAC
rnacentral:rRNA from 1 species